GUGACGGUAACUCAGUUGGUAGAGUGCCUUGCUGAAGACUAGGUGGUCACAGGUUCGAAUCCUGUCCGUCACA
rnacentral:tRNA from 1 species